rnacentral:rRNA from 1 species
UACAGAGGUGGCAAGCGUUGUUCGGAAUUACUGGGCGUAAAGGGCGCGUAGGCGGCCAGGUAGGUCUGCUGUGAAAACUCGAGGCUUAACCUCGAGCUGUCGGCGGAAACCAUCUGGCUAGAGUCCGGAAGAGGAGAAUGGAAUUCCCGGUGUAGCGGUGAAAUGCGCAGAUAUCGGGAAGAACACCCGUGGCGAAGGCGGUUCUCUGGGACGGUACUGACGCUGAGACGCGAAAGCGUGGGGAGCGAACAGG